rnacentral:lncRNA from 1 species
UUUUGCCAGGUAAAAAUGAUGAAAGGAAGAACUGAGAAGUAUUUAGGAUGCGAUUAAGUGAUGGACCUUGAAGUCUAGCAUAGAGAAGGAGGAAAUGAAGGCAAGAGGUUGUUGAUGGACAAGGAGAAAGUGGAAUAGAUGUCCUAACAAGGCUGAAGAACUGGCAUCUCUUGGACAAAUCUAGAGGUUGAAGUCAGAGGGUGGGAUGCCAAACUAUUUCAGAAGACAGAAUAGUUCCUAAUGAUGAGGCUUCGGAUAUGGCCAUAGCUGGAUUGGAGCCAAGGUAAAGGACUCUAAGAUGAAAAGGUCUAGGAAUUGAGAGUCACUAAAUCGGCUAUACACUCAGAUGUUUAGAUAUCCCAUAGAUUCCCCCUCUUUAAGAUGCUGCCCUGGGUCCAUCCAGCCCCUUCCCCAAUCUUCAGAGGAUCUGCAAUUACACUUCAACUUAAGUCUUAGAUCCUAAAAUGGUAAUGGCAUGGCUGAACCAGAAAACAGAAUGGAGAAGUUAGAGAGGGCCAUAGUGGACAUCUAUUUUGUUUUAUUUUGUUUUGAUACAAAAUAAAUAUGCAUACACUUUUCUGAAAACAGCAUGUCUAUUUCCUGUGAAGGGACUACCACCAAAUCCGGGCUUCUUUAGUCUCAGUCCAUGUGCAAGUACAGUAUGACUCUGACCUGUGAGCAGUUCAGGAGUUCAGGGAUAGAUUCACGACCAACUAGAAUCCAUAAGCACAAUGUUGUCAGAACACCACCACAUUUUCAGCUUCACUUGAACCUGCUAGGACACAAAACCUGAGAAUAAAGUCAGCACAGAAGAGAGCCAAGAAAUAGAAAUUGAAUCCUGAUGACAUUGGAAUGAGUCCCCGAAUGAACCCUACUACCUCAAGCCAACCAGCCCUAAUCCUGGACUAUUCAGAUAUGAGUCAAUAUAUACACGUUUUGCUUAUACCUGUUGGAUUUUAUUUUCUGUCACUCAUAUCCAAAUAAUUCAUCACAAUGCAAGGGGGUUCUCAAACUCUGGCCCUGCCUUCUGGGAUAGCUCUGUGUGUUUAUAAAUUAAUAAUUUAUAUGUAUUAAUAUAUUAAUAUAUAAUAUAUAUUAACUUCUCUGUGCCUCAGUUUCCAUUUAUGUGAAAAAAGUAGCAAUACCUACUUCAAAGAGUUGUAAAGAUUAAAUGGAGUUAUAAAUGUUGGAGUAUAAAUUUGUUCCACAACACUGAGGAACAAGAUACAUCACGUUACUUAAUUUUUCUAAAUUAAAUCUGGUUCAAAAAUCUCAUUUACUAGUGUUGGAAGAUGUCCAAUAUUAAAUCAUGAUGUGGCAGGGGGGAGCUUUUUUCUUCUUUAGAAUUAUAUACAUUGACCAACAAAACAACUCUCCACCCACCCCCCAAAAAAACCCAAAACACUUAGAAAAUAACCUCUGGUCUUAAGUCUAUCAUGGUUGCCACUGGGAUGUGCAUCGUAUAAAUGCAUAUGGUCUAUUCAAAGGCAGGUGGCUCCACAGCAUCUCUGCACACCAGCAUUUUUGCAGCAGUUCCCAAGACUGUGGCUGGAUCUAUAGUUCUCUAACCAUUAAAUAGGUUCUCCCCAUUAGAAGUCUUGCUGAAAAAAAAAAAAAAAAAAAAGUCCUGCUGCCUCUUCUGUACAGACCCUAACACUCAUGGAACCCAUUGCUAUAUCUCUUUUCUCAAACUCCUAGACACACUUUUAUCCUUGGCAUUGCUUCUUUCAAUCAUCUCCCAACUUCUUCUCAAGAACACCUAGCUAAAUUAAAUUCCCCUCCCACACAAAAGCCUGUAUAAGGUUGUAGACUAGGUGUCUUGAAACUUUGAUUUGGGACUAGAAAACAUAAACUCUAUUACCAAUUCCAUGAGACAAGAAAUCUAGAAUUCCUGGAGGAGAGGAGAGCUAAGUUACCUUUUUAUCUUACCAGAUGUCUCCUUUGGGAAGGAGUAGAAGACAACAAUUAAGAGCUUGGUAAAAUGUCUACCAUAAAUGUAAGUAUAUAGGUAUUCAACAUCCUUUUCCCUGUUUCCUAUUAGGAUUCAACUUACCUUCUUCGUCCAGAGGUAUUGCUACCUCAAAUACCAGGCAGGUAAUACAAAUGAGUAAAAGUGGACAAGUAUAAGAAAACAAAAUCAUAGGUACAAUGAUAAACCACAACUAGCCUUAGGCUUGGUAUUAAUGAUGAGAACAUGGUAAGAACCAUGGUGAACUGAAGGGCACAUGUACACUACAAGGGGAGCCACUGCUACUUAGCUCUUAUUUUGUGGAAAUGAGAGUCUAGUACUGCCAGGUUUUAAACUUGAAAUACUAUUAUGCACAAUCUACUAGUUUUACAGUGUUGGCUACUCCAGUUUUUAAUGCUGGCCACAUCGAGCCAAAUAUUACAUAUCAGUACAUCACUUUAAGCCCUUUUAUGGUUUCAGCUGCUACAUAUAUGCUACUGGCUAUAAAAUUUUACAUCUCCACCAUAGACUGUUCUUCCAAGCUUCAGAUCCACAUAUCUAAUUGCCUCCUACCUAGUUUUUCCUUGUCACAGAAACCUCAAAUACAAAUGUCUAAAUGGAGCCCAUUACCUCCCCCCACCCAUAAAUUGGUUCCCAGGUCUGUGUUCUCUAUCUCAGUAAAAUGGCACUAAUAUAUACACCCUGUUUCUUAAGUUAGAAACCCUAGAGUCAUUCUCAGUUCCCAUACUCCUCUAUCCCAUUGGUAAUGAAGCCUAACCAAUUAUAUCUUUGGUAUUCUAGUUGAAUUAAUUAUUCUCCAUUCUUACCAUCACUGUCUUGGUUUAGGCCUCAUCUUUUGUUUUGCCUAAACUAAAGCAAGAAUUCCCUAACUAAUCUCUCACCUCAAUCUCUUUGCCCUCACUAGAGCCAGUGUUCUUUCCAAGAUACAAACUUAAUCUUGUCACUUUCCUGCUCAAAACUUUUCAAUGACUUCCAUCAUCUUCAGGGUAAAUUUCAGUUUCUUAGACUGAUAUUGAGGGGCCCUGGUGAACUUAUCUUUCCAGAUCCAUCUUUUACCACUUCCCCAACCCCCACACAUCUAAAUGCCUUCAGUUUCCCUAAUGAUACAUGCUUUCUCUGCCCUAGCACCUAAUACAGGUUGUUCCUCCUGCUUGAAUUGUCUUUCUCUUGCUCCUUAUGCUUUCAUUUUCUUGGUUCCUCAAACCAAGCAUUAAUCAUCUCCUCUAAAAAGCAGCCCCUGGGCAGCCCAGGUGGCCCAGCGGUCUAGCGCCGCCUACAGUCCAGGGUGUGAUCCUGGGGACCCAGGAUCGAGUCCCACAUCAGGCUCCCUGCAUGGAGCCUGCUUCUCCCUCUGCCUGUGUCUCUGCCUCUCUCUGUGUGUGUGUCUCUUGUGAAUAAAUAAAUAAAACCUUUAAAAAAAUAAAUAAAAAUAAAAAGCAGCCCCUGAGAAGCAAACCCCUUCCCUGGGCUAGUUAGAUAUCCUCCUCUUAUCCGAUAGUACCCCAUGCAUACUUCAAUUUUGUCUAUUACUUGACUGUUUUCACCCUACUGAAAUGAGACCUAUUUACUGCAGAGACUGUCUUAUUUCUAUCUCCUCAAGACUGAGCACAAUAUCUGAUCCAUAGUAGGUAUUCAAUAAAUACAUGUUGAAUGAAUGAAUGAAUGAAUAUAUAAAUCAAGUCCAACCCAC